UACGUAGGGGGCUAGCGUUGUCCGGAAUCAUUGGGCGUAAAGCGCGUGUAGGCGGUCCGGUAAGUCCGCUGUGAAAGUCGAGGGCUCAACCCUCGAAUGCCGGUGGAUACUGUCGGGCUUGAGUACGGGAGAGGCGAGUGGAAUUCCUGGUGUAGCGGUGAAAUGCGCAGAUAUUGGGAGGAACACCAAUGGCGAAGGCAGCUCUCUGGGACGGUACUGACGCUGAGACGCGAAAGCGUGGGGAGCGAACAGG
rnacentral:rRNA from 1 species